AUUGAACGCUGGCGGCAUGCCUUACACAUGCAAGUCGAACGAAGCCUUCGGGCUUAGUGGCGCACGGGUGCGUAACGCGUGGGAAUCUGCCCUUGGGUUCGGAAUAACAGUUAGAAAUGACUGCUAAUACCGGAUGAUGUCUUCGGACCAAAGAUUUAUCGCCCAAGGAUGAGCCCGCGUAGGAUUAGGUAGUUGGUGGGGUAAUGGCCCACCAAGCCGACGAUCCUUAGCUGGUCUGAGAGGAUGAUCAGCCACACUGGGACUGAGACACGGCCCAGACUCCUACGGGAGGCAGCAGUGGGGAAUAUUGGACAAUGGGCGAAAGCCUGAUCCAGCAAUGCCGCGUGAGUGAUGAAGGCCUUAGGGUUGUAAAGCUCUUUUACCAGGGAUGAUAAUGACAGUACCUGGAGAAUAAGCUCCGGCUAACUCCGUGCCAGCAGCCGCCGUAA
rnacentral:rRNA from 1 species